GGGGGUGUGGUUAAGACAUAGAGCAUUCACUUAAUACAUGUGAGGCCCAGGGUUCAAUUCCCAGCACCCCCA
rnacentral:tRNA from 1 species